AUUGAACGCUGGCGGCAGGCCUAACACAUGCAAGUCGAGCGGAUGAAGGGAGCUUGCUCCUGGAUUCAGCGGCGGACGGGUGAGUAAUGCCUAGGAAUCUGCCUGGUAGUGGGGGAUAACGUCCGGAAACGGGCGCUAAUACCGCAUACGUCCCGAGGGAGAAAGUGGGGGAUCUUCGGACCUCACGCUAUCAGAUGAGCCUAGGUCGGAUUAGCUAGUUGGUGGGGUAAAGGCCUACCAAGGCGACGAUCCGUAACUGGUCUGAGAGGAUGAUCAGUCACACUGGAACUGAGACACGGUCCAGACUCCUACGGGAGGCAGCAGUGGGGAAUAUUGGACAAUGGGCGAAAGCCUGAUCCAGCCAUGCCACGUGUGUGAAGAAGGUCUUCGGAUUGUAAAGCACUUUAAGUUGGGAGGAAGGGCAGUAAGUUAAUACCUUGCUGUUUUGACGUUACCAACAGAAUAAGCACCGGCUAACUUCGUG
rnacentral:rRNA from 1 species